rnacentral:rRNA from 1 species
CCUACGGGUGGCUGCAGUGGGGAAUAUUGGACAAUGGGCGCAAGCCUGAUCCAGCAAUGCCGCGUGUGUGAAGAAGGCCUUCGGGUUGUAAAGCACUUUCAGUGGGGAGGAAAGCUUCAGGGUUAAUAACCCUGAGGGGUGACGUUACCUACAGAAGAAGCACCGGCUAACUCUGUGCCAGCAGCCGCGGUAAUACAGAGGGUGCAAGCGUUGCGCGGAAUUACUGGACGUAAAGCGCUAAGUGGCGGGUGAAAGCCCUGGGCUUAACCUGGGAACUGCAGUCGAUACUGGGUAUCUAGAGUAUGGCAGAGGAUAGUGGAAUUCCCGGUGUAGCAGUGAAAUGCGUAGAUAUCGGGAGGAACACCAGUGGCGAAGGCGACUUUCUGGGCCAAUACUGACGCUGAGGAGCGAAAGCGUGGGGAGCAAACAGGAUUAGAUACCCCAGUAGUC